GCGGCAGGGUAGCUCAGUUGGUGAGAGCGCACGACUCAUAAUCGUGAGGUCG
rnacentral:tRNA from 1 species